rnacentral:misc_RNA from 1 species
CUCUUUUCUGCUACUUUGUAUGAAUAUGAAGCUGAUUAGACUUGCAUCCAAGAAGCCAUGGUGGAAGUUUUUGUGAUUACUUGCUGUUAUGGCUUUAUUUUUUGUUGGCCAAGUUUUUCUGUUUGUUGUUUAAUUUUAGUCGGUGUUUGCCCCAGAAUCUACAUUGCUGCCACUGGUUGAUUUUGCUUCAAUGAGCUCUCCCCCCCG